rnacentral:rRNA from 1 species
UACGUAGGGUGCAAGCGUUGUCCGGAAUUAUUGGGCGUAAAGAGCGUGUAGGCGGCCCGGUUAGUCCGCUGUGAAAGUCCGGGGCUCAACCCUGGAAUGCCGGUGGAUACUGUCGGGCUAGAGUCCGGAAGGGGCGAGUGGAAUUCCUGGUGUAGCGGUGAAAUGCGCAGAUAUCAGGAGGAACACCAAUGGCGAAGGCAGCUCGCUGGGACGUGACUGACGCUGAGACGCGAAAGCGUGGGGAGCAAACAGG